rnacentral:RNase_P_RNA from 1 species
GCAGCAGACCGCCUUAUCGUCGUUCCGAUUUAUUGGAAGGGAGGAAAGUCCGGACACCAAAGAGAAGCAUAACGGGUAACGCCCGUCCGUCGAGAGGCGAGGACAAGUGCAACAGAAAGCAGGUACAGGUAAUGCUGUAGUGAAACCAGGUAAACUCUAUGCGGUGAAAUGUCAAGUAUAUCAACAAUUCUGAUUUCGGUUAGAUAAGGGCUUCUCGUCCGAUGUUGAAGGGUAGGCAGCUUGAGUUAUUCAGUAAUGAAUAAUCUAGAUAAAUGAUAAGGCUCUGAUUCAUCAGAGACAGAAUCCGGCUUAUAGGUCUGCAUUUUUU